rnacentral:rRNA from 2 species
GGGUUGUGAGGUUAAGCGACUAAGCGUACACGGUGGAUGCCCUGGCAGUCAGAGGCGAUGAAGGGCGUGCUAAUCUGCGAUAAGCGCCGGUAAGGUGAUAUGAACCGUUAUAACCGGCGAUACCCGAAUGGGGAAACCCAGUGUGAUUCGUCACACUAUCAUUAACUGAAUCCAUAGGUUAAUGAGGCGAACCGGGGGAACUGAAACAUCUAAGUACCCCGAGGAAAAGAAAUCAACCGAGAUUCCCCCAGUAGCGGCGAGCGAACGGGGAGGAGCCCAGAGCCUGAAUCAGCAUGUGUGUUAGUGGAAGCGUCUGGAAAGGCGCGCGAUACAGGGUGACAGCCCCGUACACAAAAGCGCAUGUGCUGUGAGCUCGAUGAGUAGGGCGGGACACGUGGUAUCCUGUCUGAAUAUGGGGGGACCAUCCUCCAAGGCUAAAUACUCCUGACUGACCGAUAGUGAACCAGUACCGUGAGGGAAAGGCGAAAAGAACCCCGGCGAGGGGAGUGAAAAAGAACCUGAAACCGUGUACGUACAAGCAGUGGGAGCACAGGUUUACCUGUGUGACUGCGUACCUUUUGUAUAAUGGGUCAGCGACUUAUAUUCUGUAGCAAGGUUAACCGAAUAGGGGAGCCGGAGGGAAACCGAGUCUUAAUUGGGCGUUAAGUUGCAGGGUAUAGACCCGAAACCCGGUGAUCUAGCCAUGGGCAGGUUGAAGGUUGGGUAACACUAACUGGAGGACCGAACCGACUAAUGUUGAAAAAUUAGCGGAUGACCUGUGGCUGGGGGUGAAAGGCCAAUCAAACCGGGAGAUAGCUGGUUCUCCCCGAAAGCUAUUUAGGUAGCGCCUCGUGAAUUCAUCUCCGGGGGUAGAGCACUGUUUCGGCUAGGGGGCCAUCCCGGCUUACCAACCCGAUGCAAACUGCGAAUACCGGAGAAUGUUAUCACGGGAGACACACGGCGGGUGCUAACGUCCGUCGUGAAGAGGGAAACAACCCAGACCGCCAGCUAAGGUCCCAAAGUCAUGGUUAAGUGGGAAACGAUGUGGGAAGGCCCAGACAGCCAGGAUGUUGGCUUAGAAGCAGCCAUCAUUUAAAGAAAGCGUAAUAGCUCACUGGUCGAGUCGGCCUGCGCGGAAGAUGUAACGGGGCUAAACCAUGCACCGAAGCUGCGGCAGCGACGCUGAUGCGUUGUUGGGUAGGGGAGCGUUCUGUAAGCCUGCGAAGGUGGCCUGUGAGGGUUGCUGGAGGUAUCAGAAGUGCGAAUGCUGACAUAAGUAACGAUAAAGCGGGUGAAAAGCCCGCUCGCCGGAAGACCAAGGGUUCCUGUCCAACGUUAAUCGGGGCAGGGUGAGUCGACCCCUAAGGCGAGGCCGAAAGGCGUAGUCGAUGGGAAACGGGUUAAUAUUCCCGUACUUGGUGUUACUGCGAAGGGGGGACGGAGAAGGCUAUGUUGGCCGGGCGACGGUUGUCCCGGUUUAAGCGUGUAGGCUGGUUUUCCAGGCAAAUCCGGAAAAUCAAGGCUGAGGCGUGAUGACGAGGCACUACGGUGCUGAAGCAACAAAUGCCCUGCUUCCAGGAAAAGCCUCUAAGCAUCAGGUAACAUCAAAUCGUACCCCAAACCGACACAGGUGGUCAGGUAGAGAAUACCAAGGCGCUUGAGAGAACUCGGGUGAAGGAACUAGGCAAAAUGGUGCCGUAACUUCGGGAGAAGGCACGCUGACACGUAGGUGAAGUGAUUUACUCAUGGAGCUGAAGUCAGUCGAAGAUACCAGCUGGCUGCAACUGUUUAUUAAAAACACAGCACUGUGCAAACACGAAAGUGGACGUAUACGGUGUGACGCCUGCCCGGUGCCGGAAGGUUAAUUGAUGGGGUCAGCGCAAGCGAAGCUCCUGAUCGAAGCCCCGGUAAACGGCGGCCGUAACUAUAACGGUCCUAAGGUAGCGAAAUUCCUUGUCGGGUAAGUUCCGACCUGCACGAAUGGCGUAAUGAUGGCCAGGCUGUCUCCACCCGAGACUCAGUGAAAUUGAACUCGCUGUGAAGAUGCAGUGUACCCGCGGCAAGACGGAAAGACCCCGUGAACCUUUACUAUAGCUUGACACUGAACAUUGAGCCUUGAUGUGUAGGAUAGGUGGGAGGCUUUGAAGUGUGGACGCCAGUCUGCAUGGAGCCGACCUUGAAAUACCACCCUUUAAUGUUUGAUGUUCUAACGUGGACCCGUUACCCGGGUUGCGGACAGUGUCUGGUGGGUAGUUUGACUGGGGCGGUCUCCUCCUAAAGAGUAACGGAGGAGCACGAAGGUUGGCUAAUCCUGGUCGGACAUCAGGAGGUUAGUGCAAUGGCAUAAGCCAGCUUGACUGCGAGCGUGACGGCGCGAGCAGGUGCGAAAGCAGGUCAUAGUGAUCCGGUGGUUCUGAAUGGAAGGGCCAUCGCUCAACGGAUAAAAGGUACUCCGGGGAUAACAGGCUGAUACCGCCCAAGAGUUCAUAUCGACGGCGGUGUUUGGCACCUCGAUGUCGGCUCAUCACAUCCUGGGGCUGAAGUAGGUCCCAAGGGUAUGGCUGUUCGCCAUUUAAAGUGGUACGCGAGCUGGGUUUAGAACGUCGUGAGACAGUUCGGUCCCUAUCUGCCGUGGGCGCUGGAGAACUGAGGGGGGCUGCUCCUAGUACGAGAGGACCGGAGUGGACGCAUCACUGGUGUUCGGGUUGUCAUGCCAAUGGCACUGCCCGGUAGCUAAAUGCGGAAGAGAUAAGUGCUGAAAGCAUCUAAGCACGAAACUUGCCCCGAGAUGAGUUCUCCCUGAGACUUAGAGUCUCCUGAAGGAACGUUGAAGACGACGACGUUGAUAGGCCGGGUGUGUAAGCGCAGCGAUGCGUUGAGCUAACCGGUACUAAUGAACCGUGAGGCUUAACCUUACAACGCCGAAG